CCCAGUAGCGGCGAGCGAACGGGGAGGAGCCCAGAGCCUGAAUCAGCAUGUGUGUUAGUGGAAGCGUCUGGAAAGGCGCGCGAUACAGGGUGACAGCCCCGUACACAAAAGCGCAUGUGCUGUGAGCUCGAUGAGUAGGGCGGGACACGUGGUAUCCUGUCUGAAUAUGGGGGGACCAUCCUCCAAGGCUAAAUACUCCUGACUGACCGAUAGUGAACCAGUACCGUGAGGGAAAGGCGAAAAGAACCCCGGCGAGGGGAGUGAAAAAGAACCUGAAACCGUGUACGUACAAGCAGUGGGAGCACCCUUCGGGGUGUGACUGCGUACCUUUUGUAUAAUGGGUCAGCGACUUAUAUUCUGUAGCAAGGUUAACCGUAUAGGGGAGCCGGAGGGAAACCGAGUCUUAACCGGGCGUUAAGUUGCAGGGUAUAGACCCGAAACCCGGUGAUCUAGCCAUGGGCAGGUUGAAGGUUGGGUAACACUAACUGGAGGACCGAACCGACUAAUGUUGAAAAAUUAGCGGAUGACCUGUGGCUGGGGGUGAAAGGCCAAUCAAACCGGGAGAUAGCUGGUUCUCCCCGAAAGCUAUUUAGGUAGCGCCUCGUGAAUUCAUCUCCGGGGGUAGAGCACUGUUUCGGCUAGGGGGCCAUCCCGGCUUACCAACCCGAUGCAAACUGCGAAUACCGGAGAAUGUUAUCACGGGAGACACACG
rnacentral:rRNA from 1 species